UCAAGCUACAAAGGGCGCAUGGUGAAUGCCUUGGCAUCAGGAGCCGAUGAAGGACGUGAUAAGCUGCGAUAAGCUUCGGGUAGGCGCACAUAGCCUGAGAUCCGAAGAUUUCCGAAUGAGGAAACUCACAUGGGAAACCCCAUGUAUCAUUAAGUGAAUACAUAGCUUAAUGAAGGUAACCCAGGGAACUGAAACAUCUAAGUACCUGGAGGAAGAGAAAGAAAAAUCGAUUUUCUUAGUAGCGGCGAGCGAAAGGGAAAGAGCCCAAACCGGAAACUUGUUUCCGGGGUUGUGGACAUAACAUAAAAGUGGAGGCUAUUGUAACUGAAGAGAACUGGAAAGUUCCACCGUAGAAGGUAAUAGUCCUGUAAGUGAAACGAGAAGACCACGAGUUAUGAUCCAGAGUACCACGAGACACGUGAAACCUUGUGGGAAGCAGGGAGGACCACCUCCCAAGGCUAAAUACUACCUGAUGACCGAUAGUGAAGCAGUACCGUGAGGGAAAGGUGAAAAGAACCCCGGGAGGGGAGUGAAAUAGAACCUGAAACCGUGUGCCUACAACCGCUCAGAGCCCCUUAUGAGGGUGAUGAGGUGCUUUUUGUAGAACGAGCCAACGAGUUACGGUAUGUAGCAAGGUUAAGUACUUAAGGUACGGAGCCGAAGGGAAACCGAGUCUGAAUAGGGCGACUAGUUGCAUGCCGUAGACCCGAAACCGGGUGACCUAUCCAUGGCCAGGUUGAAGCGAGGGUAAAACCUCGUGGAGGACCGAACCACGUUGCUGUUGAAAAAGCAUGGGAUGAGCUGUGGAUAGCGGAGAAAUUCCAAUCGAACCCGGAGAUAGCUGGUUCUCUCCGAAAUAGCUUUAGGGCUAGCGUCGAGUAUGAGUAGUGGAGGUAGAGCACUGAAUGGGCUAGGGGGCAUAGCGCUUACCGAACCUUAUCAAACUCCGAAUGCCACAUACUUUGAGCUCGGCAGUCAGACUACGAAUGAUAAGAUCCGUGGUCAAAAGGGAAACAGCCCAGAUCGUCAGCUAAGGUCCCAAAGUGUAAGUUAAGUGGGAAAGGAUGUGAGAUUUCUAAGACAACUAGGAUGUUGGCUUAGAAGCAGCCAUUCAUUAAAAGAGUGCGUAAUAGCUCACUAGUCGAGAGAUCUUGCGCCGAAAAUGUAACGGGGCUAAACUUACCACCGAAGCUACGGGCUUGAACUUAGUUCAAGCGGUAGGAGAGCGUCGUAACCGGGCUGAAGUCGUACCGUAAGGAGCGGUGGACUGGUUACGAGUGAGAAUGUUGGCAUCAGUAGCGAGAUGUGGGUGAGAAUCCCACAGGCCGAAAACCUAAGGUUUCCUCAGGAAGGUUCGUCCGCUGAGGGUUAGUCGGGACCUAAGCCGAGGCCGAAAGGCGUAGGUGAUGGACAACUGGUUGAUAUUCCAGUACCACUACCAUCGUUAUUAUCGAUGGCGUGACGCAGGAGGAUAGUGUGUGCUAGCUAUUGGAUGCUAGUCUAAGCGUUUAGGCAGUGAGAGUAGGCAAAUCCGCUCUCAUAAUGCUGAGGCGUGAUGGGGAAGGUUCUACGGAACCGAAGUACAUGAUUCCACGCUGCCAAGAAAAGCGUCUAGAGAGAGAAGUAGUGCCCGUACCGCAAACCGACACAGGUAGGUGAGGAGAGAAUCCUAAGGCCGGCGGAAGAAUUACAGUUAAGGAACUCGGCAAAUUGACCCCGUAAGUUCGCGAGAAGGGGUGCCUACGAGAGUAGGCCGCAGAGAAUAGGCCCAAGCAACUGUUUAGCAAAAACACAGGUCUCUGCUAAAGCGUAAGCUGAUGUAUAGGGGCUGACGCCUGCCCGGUGCUGGAAGGUUAAGGGGAACACUUAGCGUAAGCGAAGGUGUGAACUUAAGCCCCAGUAAACGGCGGCCGUAACUAUAACGGUCCUAAGGUAGCGAAAUUCCUUGUCAGGUAAGUUCUGACCCGCACGAAUGGCGUAAUGACUUGGGCACUGUCUCAACUGUAAAUCCGGCGAAGUUGUAGUGCGAGUGAAGAUGCUCGCUACCCGCGAUUGGACGGAAAGACCCCGUAGAGCUUUACUGUAGCUUAGCAUUGAGUUUUGGUAUUGUCUGUACAGGAUAGGUGGGAGACUAGGAAACCAGGGCGUCAGCCUUGGUGGAGUCAACCUUGGGAUACCACCCUGACAGUACUGAAAUUCUAACUGGCGGCCAUGAAUCUGGUCACAGGACAUUGUUAGGUGGGCAGUUUGACUGGGGCGGUCGCCUCCUAAAAAGUAACGGAGGCGCCCAAAGGUUCCCUCAGAACGGUCGGAAAUCGUUCGAAGAGUGCAAAGGCAGAAGGGAGCCUGACUGCGACACCCACAAGUGGAGCAGGGACGAAAGUCGGGCUUAGUGAUCCGGUGGUACCUCGUGGGAGGGCCAUCGCUCAACGGAUAAAAGCUACCUCGGGGAUAACAGGCUGAUCUCCCCCAAGAGUCCACAUCGACGGGGAGGUUUGGCACCUCGAUGUCGGCUCGUCGCAUCCUGGGGCUGAAGUAGGUCCCAAGGGUUGGGCUGUUCGCCCAUUAAAGCGGCACGCGAGCUGGGUUCAGAACGUCGUGAGACAGUUCGGUCCCUAUCCGUCGCGGGCGUAGGAAAUUUGAGAGGAGCUGUCCUUAGUACGAGAGGACCGGGAUGGACUGACCUCUGGUGUACCAGUUGUUCCGCCAGGAGCACAGCUGGGUAGCUAAGUCGGGAAUGGAUAAACGCUGAAAGCAUCUAAGCGUGAAGCCAACCUCAAGAUGAGAUUUCCCAUAGCGUAAGCUAGUAAGAUCCCUUGAAGAACACAAGGUUGAUAGGUCGGGGGUGUAAGCAUGGUAACAUGUUCAGCUGACCGAUACUAAUAGAUCGAGGGCUUGACCAA
rnacentral:rRNA from 1 species